rnacentral:lncRNA from 1 species
GGAGAAAAACUUACAUUCCUAGUGUUAGCAGUGGCUUCAGUGCUGCAGCGACAGUGGCUGAUUUUCUUUUUGGCUGUCCUUCUUCUUCUUCUACACGAGGACUAGUGCAGCUAGGGUUAGGUUUUCCUAGAAUGCAACGCUUAAAUACCCUCCCCGAAUCGAUCUGGGUCGUCCGUGCAGGGACACAUGACCUCUCUCUCGUCCGUUAGAUUAUUCUUAUUCG